CCACCAGCAAAAGAUACCAACAACAUGUAUCAGUUCAUAAUUACAUCGAUUUUACAGCAAAAAAUACAAACUUUCUCAUAAUUACAACACUUUUACAGAAAAAAAAUACCAACUUUUUCAUUAUUACAACAAUUUUUCCUUUUUUUAUUUGAUAAUCGUCAACUAAUUCCACGAGAUACCUCCACCUCCCACCAGCAACAGAUACCAACAACAGGUAUCAACUCAUAAUUACAUCAAUUUUACAGCAAAAAAUACAAACUUUCUCAUAAUUACAACACUUUUACAGAAGAAAAUACCAACUUUUUCAUUAUUACAACAAUUUUUCGUUUUUUUUUUUGUGUGUGUGUGAUAAUAGCCAACUAAUUCCACGAGAUACCCUCCACCUCCCACCAGCAACAGAUACAUCAGGUAUCAACUCACUCUUACAUCAAUUUUACAUCAAAAACACAAGCUUUCUCAUAAUUACAUCAAUUAUAAAGCAAAAAUACAAACUUUUUCAUUAUUACAACAAUUUUUCUUUUUGUGUGAUAACCGUCAACUAAUUCCACGGAUACCCUCCACCUCCCACCAGCAACAGAUACAACAGAUAUCAACUCACUUUUACAUCAAUUUUACAUAAAAAAACACAAGCUUUCUCAUAAUUACAUCAAUUUUACAGCAAAAAUACCAACUUUUUCAUUAUUACAACAAUUUUUAUUUUUGUGUGAUAACCGUCAACUAAUUCCACGUGAUACCCUCCACCUCCCACCAGCAACAGAUACCAACAACAGGUAUCAACUCAUUCUCGCAUCAAUUUCACAGCAAAAAACAGCAACUUUUUCACUAUUACAUAAAUCUUACAGC
rnacentral:lncRNA from 1 species